UACGGAGGGUGCGAGCGUUAAUCGGAAUUACUGGGUGUAAAGCGCACGCAGGCGGUCUGUCAAGUCGGAUGUGAAAUCCCCGGAGCUCAACUCCGGUACGCAUAGGAAACUGAGCAGCUUGAGUGCAGAAGAGGAGAGUGGAAUUCCACGUGUAGCGGUGAAAUGCGUAGAGAUGUGGAGGAACACCAGUGGCGAAGGCGGCUCUCUGGUCUGUAACUGACGCUGAGGUGCGAAAGCGUGGGUAGCAAACCGG
rnacentral:misc_RNA from 1 species